AGUAGUACAUCGGAACGUGUCUUCUAGUGGGGGAUAACUGCCCGAAAGGGCAGCUAAUACCGCAUGAGACCUGAGGGUGAAAGCGGGGGAUCGCAAGACCUCGCGCUGGAAGAGCGGCCGAUGUCCGAUUAGCUAGUUGGUGAGGUAAAGGCUCACCAAGGCGACGAUCGGUAGCUGGUCUGAGAGGACGACCAGCCACACUGGGACUGAGACACGGCCCAG
rnacentral:rRNA from 1 species